GAGCACAGCAAACGAUACGCACACAAGCUACAUGAAAACAUGUCCUACAUGAAAACAUGCCCUUUUUUCUGUACAAAAAUAAGCCAGAUUUUUUUUUUGGACAAGCCUUUUGUCACAAGCCAGAAGUCGGAGAUCAUCGGGGGUAAAAGUUUCAGGACCAUGUGGGCAUGAGAAUACAAAUGAAAACAGCAAGUUCUGAGAUGCGAUGUGAAAAUCACACUUCUUAUCACUCCUCGCACUGCACCUCAAACUCUCAGAUCUACCAGCACUGCUCAACUGGUCCCACCAUCUCUCAGGGUAAGAGGUCGCUAUAUAUCAAGACUCUUCUCUGUUCCGGC